AAAAAUAUUUUUUUGAGAAAUGGAUUUGAUGAAUAUGGAUGAAAGUGUUUUUACUUGCAAGGAUUUAUUUCACAUACAUAUCUUGAUCCUUGUAAAAAUGAAGCAUGAUUUAAUCUCUCACGAUUCUAACUUCACUCGAAGUAAACUCACAAAUAGCAUGUAUCACAAAUAGUCUUCCUCCGUCAUGCAAAAAGAUAAUAACAGAUAAAAAAGGAAGAAGUUUUCAAAGCUAUCUCCAUGUCAUGUUUUCCUUGAGAUGUUUGUAUAAUU
rnacentral:lncRNA from 1 species